UGUUAAAUAUUGUGCGUAUUUAAGACCUGAAAAUCAAUAUUAAAUAUAGCCCAAUCUAUUGUAAUUCCUUUUUAAUUAGAGGGAGAAUUUGCCAGCACCUUUGAGUGGUUGCGACGGCGGAUGGUUUAUCUGGAGCUAUUGUGAACGACACAAAGAGAGAAACACAGUGGGGGGAGAAACACCUUCGAACCCCAUUUCUGAGCUGGAAAACAGGCCCAAAAUCUCACGCUACGGCCCGGCCGGGAUUUUGUUCACCCAGAGCCGCGACAUCUGCUCCCGUCAUUUAAAUAAGGGAUAGACAGAGCGGCAGACGUCCCAAAACCAACCAUGAGAGCGACCAAAUAGACGUUCGGGAGGUUAAAUGUUAAUACAACUUCAAGUUAACAAAGCAACCAACCUACAGCGGUUUAGUUCCAGAUAAUGAACGUGGUUGUUCUCUAAACAGAGGUCAGAAUUCUCUAUGGUUUAUAGAAAUGAGAUAUAUUAACCUAUAGAUUCUUCACAUACAACCAAAACCAUACCUGCAAACAUUCUCCAAACCUGCACGCAGCCAUAGAAACCAUAUCAAGCCAUUUUCCAGCUUACGGAAAACUGUUAAGCCCCCAAAAUUGGCCUUAAAUUGGCGAAUCUAUGGGGGAAAAUAGUGGUCAGGUUAAAUGAGAGCAAGGCGGUGACUGAACGUGGGUUUUUGUGAGGCCAACGCACCUGUUUUCUCCUUGAUCUCGCAGAGCACGCUGAAGAGCGCCGGUUUCAUUCUAUGGCAGUUCAGGGCGUGUUUUCUGAAAGAAAAUGAGAACGAAUGAGCGAACGCCAAGAGGAAAAGACGCCGAGAACUGCGUCGCGCUCCAGGACCAGGAAACGCCAACAUGUGCCACACCGUUCACGCCAAAUCCAUCCCGAUGGCUAAUUAAGGCAGAUAAUUACAUCUCGGGGUUGAAAACACACGUGAAGCGUGGUCAGAAGGUGGAAAAGCAGGAGGCUUCCGUCUGGCCAUGGCGCGAAUUGGACGGCGCGACGCUGAGAACGCGCCUUUGUCACCAAAACCGCGCGACCUGAACCCCAUCGGCCGCCCAGGGAAGGAUGGAACCUGCUCAGCUCCGGAGCCGCCGGGUGACACCGAGCCCGAGACAAACAGGCUGAGAACAAAGGCAGCUGAGCCGGGGCCGGUGCAGCCCUAUUGUCCUUGUUUGCCGAGGGAAAAACGGGAGGAGAGAGCAGGAAUUCCGCGCUGCACCCCGCUCCAAAAAGCGCAAUUUAGGGACAGAGACAGCCGCGGAGAUAAUUGCUUAAUUAACACACUCCUGCAAAGAGGACGAAGGGGAUAACGUAGCGGCGUUCGACUCGUUCUGGCGGAUUAAUUCCCUUUCGGUGAGGCUCGUCAGCCAAGUUUGCAAGUUGGGUUUAAAUAUUCUCGUUGGCUGCGCCGAGCGGAGCCACCGAGGUUCGAUAGGCGUUAAAAUAACGCGUGUGAAAAGCACAUUGUGUGCGGUUUUAAUACAAAGGAAUCAAAGGAAUCCCCGUUAACGUAGCAUCACCGAGCGGGGAGAAACCCCGGGUCCCCCUGCAUCCCCAAAUCCCUCAUGGGAUGGGUUUAACCAGGCUCGGCUUUACUUAAGGAGGACUAAGUAAACCCAACAAACUCAAAGCUCAACUCUUCCUUGAAACUGGAGUUCCUGGCAAAUUUCUUCUGCUCAAAAUCACCUUAAAUAUGAGGUUGGGAGAGAAAACUGUGGCUCUUACGCAACACACGGGCAAAUCCACACCUAUGGAAUCCAUACGGGAGCUGCGGGUGGUUAUUUCCGAGACACAAAAACUAUAAGUUUUGGGUCCUGCAAGCGCCGCUCGCGUAUUUUGGACCCUACAAGUUACAUGGAAGAGUUGACUUUAAACCCAAAUUAGGACGUUUUUAGAAUACGUGGUUUUUCCUUAGGAAAACUCGACCAUCAGGAACGUGCGACCUGUCCUUGGGAGCACAGAAGCAACAGGCGGACCCAAAACCGGCUAAACUUUGGGUGAAUUCAACACAAAUCCAGCCCUGGACGGGUCUUUUCGACACAGGUGGGGAAAUGAGGGAAAAGCUGGAGCAGCAGAGCGCGGAGAACACACCAGAAGAUGCUGAAUUUGGUUGAUUCUGGGCUGGUUUUGCCAUGAAUCGCAACGAAGUCAACGAGAAGGGGAAAAAACAACCUUAAUUGGUUUUGCUUUAAAUGUUGUUAUAGAGAGACUUGGUGAUGGGGGUGACAACCCCCCCGAGCUGCUCUCGCUUUCCCUCCCCAACAAACUUCCCCCUUAGGGGUGAAAAAUGGAAAUGAUACAUGGAACAACCGCGUCGCCACCGGGACAACCGCGUCGCCACCGGGACAACCACGUCGCCACCGGGACAACCGCGUCGCCACCGCGCUGAUGGCUGCGCUACCGGUAUUUACAUCACCCGUGCGGUUGAUAACGCGGUGAAAAGCUAAAGAAAGGAUCGGAAUAUUGGUGCCGAGAAGCCCGAGCAUCCCCCCGGGUGUUCGGGGAGGAGCGAUCCCUCCCACCGGGAACGGGAACCGGGAACCGAGCGGGGAAUUCGGGGGGGAUGUCCCCGCUAAACCCCCCUCCCCGCAGCGCCGGUACCGAGGGUCUCCCCCCACCCCCCCACGCACACCCGCUGAGUCACGGCGCGGGAAGGCGCCGGUGCCGGUACCUGGCCU